AACAUCAACCAGAAUGAUCUCGCAAAGCACCUUGAUGUGAAACUUCAGAAAGUGAGUUCUAGUUGAUGAGGAAGAGUUCAGCAGCAACAAUCGCAUCUACCGUAACACAGCCACAAAAAUCAAAUCAAAGAAACCUAAUAUGCUACUGCCUGAUGAGAUGUUACAAUUUUUUGAUUGUUCAAUAUGGGUGACAUUUUAUUGCUUGAAUUAUUUGGCGUUGGAUGUUGAAAU